rnacentral:rRNA from 1 species
GAUGGACGCUAGCUCCAGGCUUAACACAUGCAAGUCGCGGGGCAGCAUGGGGGUUGCUUGCCAUCCCCGAUGGCGACCGGCGCACGGGUGAGUAACGCGUAUCCAACCUGCCCUUCACCACGGGAUAACCCGGCGAAAGUCGGACUAAUACCGUAUGUUGUCCAUUGACGGCCUCCGAUUUGGACGAAAGGCUUGGCGGUGAGGGAUGGGGAUGCGUCCGAUUAGCCAGACGGCGGGGUAACGGCCCACCGUGGCUACGAUCGGUAGGGGUUCUGAGAGGAAGGUCCCCCACACUGGAACUGAGACACGGUCCAGACUCCUACGGGAGGCAGCAGUGAGGAAUAUUGGUCAAUGGGCGUAAGCCUGAACCAGCCAAGUAGCGUGCAGGAUGACGGCCCUAUGGGUUGUAAACUGCUUUUAUGCGGGGAUAAAGUGGCCCACGUGUGGGCUUUUGCAGGUACCGCAUGAAUAAGGACCGGCUAAUUCCGUG